AUGCAAUAAAACCCUGCAUUGGUAACACCCACUUGGUUGUCAGUCCAGAUUUGAGGAGGUCAUUAUGCAUCGAUGUUGUAUUGGCCACACAAGAUAUACUCAUGCAUACCUGU